rnacentral:sRNA from 1 species
AGAAAAAGUGUGAUUUUUCAAGAAAUCAAGUGUUUAAAGGUGGUGAGCUAUCUGAUACGGGUAAAAGACUACACCCGAGGACCGAGAAUAGGAGUAUAUCUACUCCUAGUACAGCUCAGAAUAGGCAGUAGACUGUCAAUUGCAUCGAGAAGUAA